GCGCCGCGCACAGCAGCAGGGAGCAGAGGUGGGGAGCUGGACCCGCGCAGAACACAGAAAAACGCCGCACAGUUGUGCCAAGGACAAACCCUGGGUACCCUCGCCCGGGACUGGAGCGCAGGGCGCUGGUGCUCCUCUAACUGGGCGGACGCUGUGCUCCCGCGAGAAGAUUCAAAGUGAUUAAGCAGGAUUGUAAGCACUAUAUGCAACAUUUUGCUGAGAUUUUUCUCUUUCGGUGAUCAUCCAAAUGGAUAUUGAGACUGUUUAUAAAAUUAUCAGGGCCAGAGACUGCAAAAUCUAAGAUCUUCGCUGCCCAUGGAGACCCUGGGGCAAGAAUACAUGAGAAAAAUAGAAGAGGUGUUUCCAAAAUCUGCACUUCGGUGAGCACAGUGAUUGUGAUAGGUGCAAAUAAACAACUUUAGAUCUCUCCCAAGGCUACAAUCAAGAUGGUGGCUAAGACUAAGGUCUCCUCUGAGGCUCUCCUGGGGCAGGAUCUCUUCUAAGCUUGGAUGGCUGUGAGCGGGAUUUGGUUCCUUGUGAGUUAUUGGACUGAGAGCCUAGCUUCUUGCUUGCUGUUGCCUCGAAGAUCCCCCCCGCCCUUCUCUUCUUAUAUGGCUCUCCCUACAAGGAAGCUUACUUCAUCAAAGGCAGCAAGAGAGAGAGUCUAAUAGCAAGACAGAAGUUACAGUUUUAUAUUACAUAAUCUUGAAGGAGACUUCCUAUCACCUUUGCCUUCCUCUAUUGGUAAGGAAUAAUCCACAUGGUGCCCACACAAAAGCUUGAAUGCUAGGAUUGAGGGAAAAUUAGGGGACACCUUUGAGUCUGUCUUAUGACAAACUCCAUGUGAUUCUGAUAGUCAUUUGGGUUUGAAAACACUCACCCAGGGACUUUAGGGAAUACAUACAAAAAAUGGCAAGGAUGAAACUUCAAGGACAGAUCUCAAAAACUUUGGAAAAGAAAUAUCUACAAGAACAGGUGAUUAUAGAGGUAUUGGUUUUGUUAGGGAGGGGAUAGCUUGAUUAUCAAGCCUUGACCUUGGGGAUUGAGUAUAUAAUGAUGGCUUUAGCCAAAAUAGUAAGUCAAAAAAGAAACCCAUUUUGAAAGAAUGACAAUGGAGUUAGUUUUAGAUCUGUUAGAGUUGAUGUACAUAUAGGGUAUAUUAUGAAAAAGUAUUUACAACUGUGAAAUAUGGCCAAAAAAAAAAAAAAAGAAAGAAAGAAAAAAAAGUGAAUACCAUGUGUUUUCAGAGAUAUGGAGUAGCAUUGUUUAGCAGAUCCUCUAAAGGUUUAUUUUAUUAUCUCGGAAAAUGCUCUUUGUUCAACUCACUCUUACAACUGAUUAAAGUUCCCAGACUUAGUGAGGUUACACGUUAACUUAUAUAUUUUUGACCAAUAGAGUUGCAAAUGAUUUUCUGGUAUAAGAGAUAACCCGAAGUUUGCAGUUUAUUUUGUUGUAGGACAUUAAGCACUUUGAUAACUAAAUUAACAUUCUUAUGUUAAUACUUCUUCAUCAAGUUGACUAUAAAUAACUACAUCCUCAAAUGCUUUCUGAAUCACACCUAUCAUCUCACUGUUUCUGUCAUCUUAUAAUAAGUUGAAUAAAAUAUUUGACACGUGCUCACUUCGGCAGCACAUAUACUAAAAUAUUUGACACGUGUUGUUUAUAUCUAUGUGAGUCAUAACACUGUACUAACCAACCAAGAGGUUUCUCACGCUCUCUCCCUCCCUCCCCUUCUCUCCUUCUGAAAUUAUUUUAACUUGCAAUCAAACUUUACCUUUGCUGACUCUCUGAUUCACUAGGUUUUAUUAUUUAUAAUGAUUUCCUGUUCAUUUCUGGUUCUUAUCUGGAACUUGGUGAUUUGUUAGAUCACCAAGUUAAAUUCUUGUUCCAGUUUGUACAUAGCAAGAGUUGUUCCUCAAAAAAAUGGCAACAAUGACCAGAAAACUGUUUUUAUGAUCUGGCCAUUUGACGACCCCUCCAAAGAUGGUAAAGGAUCUAUUCUCUGUUGCAGUGAUAAGUGACAGGGAAUUCACUUUCUUAUUAUUUUGUGAUCAUUUCUCUAUUUCUGUACACAAAUCAAUUAAGGGAAUCAUUCUGUGCCCACUAGAGUGGAAACCAUCUUUUUGAGGUCUGGAAUAGUGAAUUUUUCUGUUUCAGUGUUUUCUUUAUCCUAGCUGAGUUUAUGGAAAUGAGGUUGCAAGCUGUGUGCCCGCAUAUCUGUAAUAAAGCAAAGCCUUUUUCUUUUGUAUGAGUGUAAAAUAUUUCCUAUUCCCAUUAGGUACUAAUUAAUUAGAUUUUGAAGUUCCUCUGAUUAAGGGAGCUUUGUUGUAACUGGUUUGUAGAGGCUAAUAAGACUAAUAUAAAUCUCAUAUUUCCCCGUGUUUGUACAAAAUAAGGAAGGUGAACUCAUAUUCAUGGAAUUCAUAUUUCCACAUGCUAAGCUUUUAAGAAAAAAUUUCCUUUUCACUGAGAGAGUGAAGUUAUAUUUUUAAGUAAGACUCCAGGUUCAUGUGAUUACAGUAAAUCCUGAUACAUAUUGGAUCACUUAAAUAAAUUUUAUUUAAAAGCA